rnacentral:rRNA from 1 species
AGCGUACAAGGUGGAUGCCUUGGCAAUCAGAGGCGAAGAAGGACGUGCUAAUCUGCGAAAAGCUUGGAUGAGUCGAUAAGAGGCGUUUAAUCCAAGAUAUCCGAAUGGGGAAACCCAGUAGAUGAAGAAUCUACUAUCAACAAGUGAAUUCAUAGCUUGUUGAGGCAAACCGGGAGAACUGAAACAUCUAAGUACCCCGAGGAAAAGAAAUCAACCGAGAUUUCGUCAGUAGCGGCGAGCGAAAGCGAAAGAGCCAGUAAGUGAUAGCAGUAUAGUGAGGAGAAUGUGUUGGGAAGCACAAUCAAAGAGGGUGAUAAUCCCGUAUCUAAAAACCAUAUUGUGGUACUAAGCUAACGAGAAGUAGGGCGGGACACGUGAUAUCCUGUUUGAAGAAGGGGGGACCAUCCUCCAAGGCUAAAUACUCCUGAUUGACCGAUAGUGAACCAGUACUGUGAAGGAAAGGCGAAAAGAACCCCGGUGAGGGGAGUGAAAUAGAACCUGAAACCUUGUACGUACAAGCAGUGGGAGCCUGAAAGGGUGACUGCGUACCUUUUGUAUAAUGGGUCAGCGACUUAUAUUUUGUAGCGAGGUUAACCGAAUAGGGGAGCCGAAGGGAAACCGAGUCUUAACUGGGCGUCUAGUUGCAAGGUAUAGACCCGAAACCCGGUGAUCUAGCCAUGGGCAGGUUGAAGGUUGGGUAACACUAACUGGAGGACCGAACCGACUAAUGUUGAAAAAUUAGCGGAUGACUUGUGGCUGGGGGUGAAAGGCCAAUCAAACCGGGAGAUAGCUGGUUCUCCCCGAAAUCUAUUUAGGUAGAGCCUUGAGGUGACACCUUUGGGGGUAGAGCACUGUUUCGGCUAGGGGUCCAUCCCGGAUUACCAACCCGAUGCAAACUACGAAUACCAAAGAGUGAUACUCAGGAGACACACGGCGGGUGCUAACGUCCGUCGUGGAGAGGGAAACAACCCAGACCGCCAGCUAAGGUCCCCAAGUCUAUAUUAAGUGGGAAACGAAGUGGGAAGGCUUAGACAGCUAGGAUGUUGGCUUAGAAGCAGCCAUCAUUUAAAGAAAGCGUAAUAGCUCACUAGUCGAGUCGGCCUGCGCGGAAGAUGUAACGGGGCUGAAAUAUAGCACCGAAGCUGCGGCAUCAGGCGUAUCACUAAUACGCCUUACGAUUAACAAGCUAGAAUGGCGCGAAGCGGCAUGAAAGGUUGUUCAAGCAACCCGAACGUUGAGUCGGGGUAUUUUUGAAGUAAGGAUUAUUAGUGAUACGCCUGUUGGGUAGGGGAGCGUUGUGUAAGCGGAUGAAGGUUAAUCGAGAGGUUAGCUGGACGUAUCACAAGUGCGAAUGCUGACAUAAGUAACGAUAAAACGGGUGAAAAACCCGUUCGCCGGAAGACCAAGGGUUCCUGUCCAACGUUAAUCGGGGCAGGGUGAGUCGGCUCCUAAGGCGAGGCUGAAAAGCGUAGUCGAUGGGAAACAGGUUAAUAUUCCUGUACUUGGUAAAGCUGCGAUGUGGGGACGGAGUAGGUUAGGUUAUCGCACUGUUGGAUAUGUGCGUUUAAGUUGGUAGGUGGGAAGUUUAGGCAAAUCCGGACUUCCUUAACACAGAGAGAUGAUGACGAGGCUCUACGGAGCUGAAGUAACUGAUACCACACUUCCAGGAAAAGCCACUAAGCGAAAGGCUUUACUAAACCGUACUGAAAACCGACACAGGUGGUCAGGUAGAGAAUACUCAGGCGCUUGAGAGAACUCGGGUGAAGGAACUAGGCAAAAUAGCACCGUAACUUCGGGAGAAGGUGCGCCGGCGUAGAUUGUAGUCCCUAGCGGGCGAAGGUUGAACCGGUCGAAGAUACCAGCUGGCUGCAACUGUUUAUUAAAAACACAGCACUCUGCAAACACGAAAGUGGACGUAUAGGGUGUGAUGCCUGCCCGGUGCUGGAAGGUUAAUUGAUGGUGUCAUCGAAAGAGAAGCACCUGAUCGAAGCCCCAGUAAACGGCGGCCGUAACUAUAACGGUCCUAAGGUAGCGAAAUUCCUUGUCGGGUAAGUUCCGACCUGCACGAAUGGCAUAAUGAUGGCCAGGCUGUCUCCACCCGAGACUCAGUGAAAUUGAAAUCGCCGUGAAGAUGCGGUGUACCCGCGGCUAGACGGAAAGACCCCGUGAACCUUUACUAUAGCUUGACACUGAACAUUGAAUUUUGAUGUGUAGGAUAGGUGGGAGACUUAGAAGUAGGAACGCCAGUUUCUAUGGAGUCAUCCUUGAAAUACCACCCUUUAACGUUUGAUGUUCUAACGAAGACUACGGAACGUGGUCUCGGACAGUGUCUGGUGGGUAGUUUGACUGGGGCGGUCUCCUCCCAAAGCGUAACGGAGGAGCACGAAGGUUUGCUAAUCACGGUCGGACAUCGUGAGGUUAGUGCAAUGGUAUAAGCAAGCUUAACUGCGAGACAGACAAGUCGAGCAGGUACGAAAGUAGGUCAUAGUGAUCCGGUGGUUCUGAAUGGAAGGGCCAUCGCUCAACGGAUAAAAGGUACUCCGGGGAUAACAGGCUGAUACCGCCCAAGAGUUCAUAUCGACGGCGGUGUUUGGCACCUCGAUGUCGGCUCAUCACAUCCUGGGGCUGAAGUAGGUCCCAAGGGUAUGGCUGUUCGCCAUUUAAAGUGGUACGCGAGCUGGGUUUAGAACGUCGUGAGACAGUUCGGUCCCUAUCUGCCGUGGGCGUUGGAUGAUUGAUUGGGGCUGCUCCUAGUACGAGAGGACCGGAGUGGACGCAUCACUGGUGUUCC